GAUGAACGCUGGCGGCGUGCCUAAUACAUGCAAGUCGAGCGAACGGACGAGAAGCUUGCUUCUCUGAUGUUAGCGGCGGACGGGUGAGUAGCACGUGGAUAACCUACCUAUAAGACUGGGAUAACUUCGGGAAACCGGAGCUAAUACCGGAUAAUAUUAUGAACCGCAUGGUUCAAAAGUGAAAGACGGUCUUGCUGUCACUUAUAGAUGGAUCCGCGCUGCAUUAGCUAGUUGGUAAGGUAACGGCUUACCAAGGCAACGAUGCAUAGCCGACCUGAGAGGGUGAUCGGCCACACUGGAACUGAGACACGGUCCAGACUCCUACGGGAGGCAGCAGUAGGGAAUCUUCCGCAAUGGGCGAAAGCCUGACGGAGCAACGCCGCGUGAGUGAUGAAGGUCUUCGGAUCGUAAAACUCUGUUAUUAGGGAAGAACAUAUGUGUAAGUAACUGUGCACAUCUUGACGGUACCUAAUCAGAAAGCCACGGCUAACUACGUG
rnacentral:rRNA from 1 species